AGAAAGUGUGAAUAUGGGAGUGUGGCUCUGUGCGUGCGUGACGAGUGCCAGAUAGAUUCGCGGAAGAAAUUGGGUGGCUGUGUGCUGGCGUGUGAUUGUGCGCGCCGGACAUGGCCAUGUGAGUUGGUUCAUUCUUGGUGCGGUGCCCCUUCUGUUGGGUAAAACUUGGAUCUGGCCCGAGAUGAAGUCUCACCCUGUCUCCCAGACUGGAGUGCAGUGGUGCAAUCACGGUUCACUGCAACCUCUGUCUCCUGGAUUCAAGCGACUCUCCUGCCUCGGCCUCCCGAGCAGCUGGAACUAUAGGCGCACACCACCACGCCUGGCUAAUUUUUGUAUUUUUAGCAGAGAUGGGGUUUCACCAUGUCAGCCAGGCUGGUCUCGAACUCCUAACCUCAAGUGAUCUGCCUGCCUCGGCCUCCCAAAGUGCUGGGAUUAUAGUCAUGAGCCACUGCACCCUGCCCAUCCUCAAAUUUUGGUAUGAGGUGGUGUCCUGGAAUCAAUCCCCCAUGGAUACCAAAGGAUGACUGUACUGUAUUCCUAGCAUGAAUUCAGUAUCAAUC
rnacentral:sRNA from 1 species